GAGAGAGAGGAGUAGAGAGAGAGAAAGAGAGGAGUAGAGAGAGAGAAAGAGAGGAGUAGAGAGAGAGAAAGAGCGAGGAAGAGAGAGCGAGGAGUAGAGAGAGAGAGAGAGCGAGGAAGAGAGAGAGAGAAAGAGAGGAGUAGAGAGAGAGAAAGAGAGGAGUAGAGAGAGAGAGAGAGAGAGAGAGAGAGAGAAAGAGAGGAGUAGAGAGAGAGAAAGAGAGGAGUAGAGAGAGAGAGAGAGAGAGAGAGAGAGAGAGAGAGAGAGAGGAGUAGAGAGAGAGAGAGAGAGGAGUAGAGAGAGAGAGAGAGAGAGAGAGAGAGAGAGAGAGAGGAGUAGAGAGAGAGAGAGAGAGGAGUAGAGAGAGAGAGAGGAAGAGAGAGAGAGAGAGAGAGAGGAGUAGAGAGAGAGAAAGAGAGGAGUAGAGAGAGAGAGAGAGCGAGGAGUAGAGAGAGAGAAAGAGAGGAGUAGAGAGAGAGAAAGAGAGGAGUAGAGAGAGAGAAAGAGAGGAGUAGAGAGAGGGAGGAGUAGAGAGAGAGCGAGGAGGAGUAGAGAGAGAGAGAGAGCGAGGAGUAGAGAGAGAGAAAGAGAGGAGUAGAGAGAGAGAAAGAGAGGAGUAGAGAGAGAGAGAGAGAGGAGUAGAGAGAGGAGUAGAGAGAGAGAGAGGAGUAGAGAGAGAGAGAGGAGUAGAGAGAGAGAGAGAGGAGUAGAGAGAGAGAGAGAGCGAGGAGUAGAGAGAGAGAAAGAGAGGAGUAGAGAGAGGGAGGAGUAGAGAGAGGAGAGAGAGAGGAGAGAGAGAGAGAGAAGAGUAGAGAGAGGAGUAGAGAGAGAAAGAGAGAGAGAGGAGUAGAGAGAGAGAGAGGAGUAGAGAGAGGAGUAGAGAGAGGAGUAGAGAGAGGAGUAGAGAGAGAGAGAGAGAGAGGAGGAGAGAGAGAGAGAGAGAGAGGAGAGAGAGAGAGAGAGAGAGGAGUAGAGAGAGAGAGAGAGAGGAGUAGAGAGAGGGAGAGAGGAG
ensembl:lncRNA